rnacentral:misc_RNA from 1 species
UCACUACUUGCGUAGGCAGUCUUCUUAGAGUGCGCAGCAUUACCUGUUAGCAACUAAGAACGAGGGUUGCGCUCGUUGCGGGACUUAACCCAACACCUCACGGCACGAGCUGACGACAGCCAUGCAGCACCUGUACAAACUCUCCUUGCGGAACCCCGACUUUCAUCAGGAUUAGUUUGCUUUUCAAGCCUAGGUAAGGUUCUUCGCGUUGCGUCGAAUUGAACCACAUGCUCCACUGCUUGUGCGGGCCCCCGUCAAUUCCUUUGAGUUUCAACCUUGCGAUCGUACUUCCCAGGUGGAAUACUUAAUGCGUUAGCUCAGACACUAAUCUUAUAAAAAGACUAACAUCUAGUAUUCAUCGUUUAAGGUGUGGACUAC